GUGCUGCCCUAAGAGUCUUCGGAUAUCAAGUUACUCUCUGCUCUUGAAACCUCAGUGUUGACUUCAGAAAGACCGUGAUCAUUUGCAAAAAGAAGUUGCCCUCUUUCCAUGGCAGAUGUUUAAACAUGCCUUCCUAAGGGUCAAGAAAAACACCACCUCAUGGAAUGGGAUUGGGGAGUCCCCAACCAGACCCAAGCCGGUCCUGUCCUGGGGGACCUGCUGGGGGACCACAUGGAGGGAAGAAACAGCAGCAACUCCACCAGGGCCCUGAGGCUUCUGGAUGGGACCAGUGCCGCUUGGUAUAUCCUCACCAUCUUUGGCAUCUACGGAGUGAUUUUCCUCUUCCGAUUGGCCAGCAACAUCCUCAGAAAGAACGAAAAGUCCUUGGAAGACAUUUAUUACUCCAAUCUCACAUUUGAAUUUGAAAAGAAAAGGCUCCAGAGCAAGGCAGCCAGAUGCUCUUCACUGACCAUUAGCAACAGAGCUGUCCUGCAGCCCAAGCAGGCCAGCCCGGAGACAAAGGGUAGGAAUAGCAGCCCCCACACUGAAAUCCAAGAGACCCCUUGAAAGUCAAGGCAAGGAGGCCUCCACAGCUGAGGUUCAAACUUCUUGCUUGAGGGAGCAGCUUUGGGCUUACCUGGAACCUUGAGAGGCGAGUCGAACCCUUGAGCGGGGCUGAAAGAGCAUCACUGAGCCACAGGUGCGUGGGGGUGCUCCCAAAAGCCAGCCUCCUGUUUCCUUCUCAGGCUUCCCGAUGCUCUGAGAUGAGCAGGAGCAGCGGCUUUCAGCCCCACUCACCCCUCACUGGAAAAUUUUAUGCUCCAGGCAAGGACAUGGGACAUCCACUGUUCUCAAAGGAAUCUGGUAGGCUCCUGGGCCAUGUGUGAAGGUAGCCUCUUGUCAUGGAAAGAAGGCUGAAUUUGGAGUCAAAUGCCUUGGAUGAAAUUCAACUUCUAGAUGGUCACAUGAACCUUGACUGGCUGGUGGCUCACGUGGAACAUGUGAGGAUUGGGAUAUACGGUCUCAGAGGGCCAUUUAUUCUAAGACUCUGUCUAAAAUAUUGAACCAGAAUAGUCAAUAUCAACAUCCUAAUUUUCAGAAGUUCUUCAUUUUCAUUGACAGUGCAGAGUCCAUUCAAAAAAAUGUAUUAGUUUUAGAGUCAGAAGAAUCAGACUCUACUCUGAGUUAGACUUAUGACCACUUUGAUGUCCUUGCACACACCACUCACCUCUCCCAACCUUAGUUUCCUUCCAGAUAAUGAGGAUAAUGAUGCCAGUUUUCUGCCAAUCUUGCAAAGCAGAUGAGAGCUAAUGAAAUCAUGUAUAUGAACAUAUUUUUAAAAGUAAAAUAAAUAUGCAAAUAUAAACCUCAUUGUGGUGGUGGUGAUGAUGGUGGCUCAUGUUAAAUUAUGGUGAUGGUAGUAUUGGUGGUGAAUGGGGGUAGUUGAUGGUUGGUGUUAAUGAUAGUGGGGUUGGUGGUGGUUGAUGGUCAGUGUUGAUUGUGGUCUUGGUGGUUGAUAGCUGAGUUGAUGAUGGUGAUGGUGGUGGUGAUUGGUGUUGUUAUUGAUGGUGUUGGUGGUGGUUGAUGGUCAGUGUUGAUGGUGGUCUUGGUUGUUGAUGUUGAUGAUGGUGGUCGUGGGGGUUGUUGAUGGUGUUGGUGUUGGUAGUUGGUGUUGUUGAUGGUGUUGUUGGUGGUUGAUAGUCAGUGUUGAUGGUGGUCUUGGUGGUUGAUGUUGAUGGUGGUGGUGGUGGUGGUUGUUGAUGUUGUUGGUGGGGGUUGGUGCUGUUGUUGAUGGUGCUGGUGGUAGUGGUGAUGCUACUGUGGUCCAGGAAAUGACGAGCCUACUGGUAAUAGCUAUAAGUAAUGGCUGCAUUACUUGAUUCUAGAAGAGAACCUAUCUGCAUCAAAGUUGAUGAUGUGUGCUCUGAGUCAAGUCCAUGAGAUUCAGUUGUACAUGUAGACAAAAUAGUCACUUUUAGUUUUCAUUACUGUAGAUUUCAUAUUAUUCAUUCAAAUGUUUCACAAACAUCUGUUACUUAUAUUCUUGUCUCUGCUUCAAAAAGAAAUAAGAUCUUGUCAAAUGAUUGAUUCAUUUAGAGAGAUUGUGAUUAGCUGAAUUUCUACAAGUGGCUUUCAGUAGGCAAAGAGAAAAAGUAUGUUUUGUACCAACCUCUCUGAAGUUUAUCUGGUUUGGCUUUUGGAGGGGUCCCCUGAACAAUAAAUAAAAAAAAUUUUUCCCCUGUCUAUGCACAGUGGUCUAUAACCAACUGCAUGAUUUCAUAAAGGUUAAAUUAAAUGCCAUGCUUUUUGUUGAAAGGAUGAGAUAGACUUCCAACUAUUUUUCUUUUUUUCAUAUUUUCCCCAUGAUCAUCUUACAGGCUCUCCAGCAAAAGUAUUUGUUGGUUUGUUUAUAUAGUUAGGGCUGGGCAUCAUCCACGUUUGAGACACUUACGGGGCAGGAUAAACAGUAGGCACAAAGACAGGCAAAAAUGUAACCCACAGUGAACAGGGAUGCACGCGCGCUCAGUCGUUUCCAUCGUGUCUGACUCUGUGUGAACCCAUGGCCUGUAGCCUGCCGGGCCCCUCUGUCCAUGGGAUUCUCCAAGUCAAGAAUACUGGAGUGGGUUGCCUUGUCCUCCUCCAGGGGAUCUUCCCAACCCAGGGGUUGGAUCCGUGGCAUCUCCUGUGUCUUCUGCAUCACAGGUAGACUCUUUAGCACUGAGCUGCCCGGGAAGCUCGAAUAGGAAUGCAGAAUGCACUAAAACGGGAGCACAAGGUCAGAACUGAAGUGAAUUUGAAGGUAAAAUACAUACUCUGUCUUGUUGGUUGCUUCCUUCUAAUGGAUCUUCCUCUUCCUCAAUCCAACAUCUCCUUAAUUUGCAUUUGGGAAUGCAUAUGGCUCUAGGAAAGAUGAAACUACUCCCAGUUCAGGACCUGAUUCAAUUAGUACAUCUCAUCUCCAGCUUCACUAAUAAGGGACCAAGCUGGACCCAUGACCCAAGUAAGCCCACCCCAUUAGAAUGAUGGGAAGGACUUCCAUAGGGAAUUAUGGAACACAGACGCCCUCUCUUGUGCUGGAUGGUGUUAAAUCCAGAGCUGAGUUUGAAAUCACUGGAGCCAUUCUGUCACCAUGGGCAAAGCCAAUGUGAGGGCAAAGGUCAACAUAAAGUGGAGACAUGAGAAAAUUACAGAGGCUAGACUUCUAAUCAGACUGUGCCCAAAGCCUUCAUUUCUCCCAGAUUGUUUUAGUUAAUGAGCCAAUAAAUUUCCCUUAUUAAGUCCUUUAGAGAUAAGCUUCCUGUCCCCCUCAACCAAAAAUAUCCCUAAUGAUACCACUGGAGAAAUAAUCUUCUGAAGGAAGUGGACCUUGGAGUGGAAUUAGAUAAAAGCAAUGUGAUGUGGUAAAGUGGGAUCACGUCUUUCACCAAGAUUUUUUAUAUUUAUAUGAUUUU
ensembl:lincRNA